GUGGGGAAUAUUGGGCAAUGGGCGAAAGCCUGACGCAGCCAUGCCGCGUGAAUGAUGAAGGUCUUAGGAUUGUAAAAUUCUUUCACCGGGGACGAUAAUGACGGUACCCGGAGAAGAAGCCCCGGCUAACUUCGUGCCAGCAGCCGCGGUAAUACGAAGGGGGCUAGCGUUGCUCGGAAUUACUGGGCGUAAAGGGCGCGUAGGCGGAUCGUUAAGUCAGGGGUGAAAUCCCAGAGCUCAACUCUGGAACUGCCCUUGAUACUGGCGAUCUUGAGUGUGAGAGAGGUAUGUGGAACUCCGAGUGUAGAGGUGAAAUUCGUAGAUAUUCGGAAGAACACCAGUGGCGAAGGCGACAUACUGGCUCAUUACUGACGCUGAGGCGCGAAAGCGUGGGGAGCAAACAGGAUUAGAUACCCGGGUAGUCC
rnacentral:rRNA from 1 species